rnacentral:misc_RNA from 1 species
GUGAAUCAUCAAAUUUUUGAACGCAAAUUGCACUUCUUGGUAUUCCGAGGAGUACACAUGCUUGAGGGUCAGUUAAAAAAAAUCGUGCAUCAUUGAUGUUGCGGAUCUGGGUAUUCCGAUUUUAUAAAUUGGUUACCUAAAAUUAAUAUGGUUAUGUAAUGUGAAGCGUACUAAUUAUAUAGUCGCUAAUCAUGGAGGCUUAUUACAGUACAACGAUACGACGAAGUAGGGAGUGGGGGUAUAAAGGAUGAGAAGGAACGCAAGUCA